CCCUUAGAUGUCCGGGGCCGCACGCGCGCUACACUGAAGGAAUCAGCGUGGCUUUCUCCCUGACCCGAAAGGGUUGGGAAACCCGUUGAAUCUCCUUCGUGAUAGGGAUUGGGGCUUGAAAUUGUUCCCCAUGAACGAGGAAUUCCCAGUAAGCGCGAGUCAUAAGCUCGCGUUGAUUACGUCCCUGCCCUUUGUACACACCGCCCGUCGCUACUACCGAUUGAACGGUUUAGUGAGGGCCUCGGAUUGGUCUCGGCCCGCUCUUCACCGGGCGGCGCCGUUGGUCGAGAAGACGCUCGAACUUGAUCGUUUAGAGGAAGUAAAAGUCGUAACA
rnacentral:rRNA from 1 species